UACGGGGGGUGCGAGCGUUGUCCGGAUUCACUGGGCGUAAAGGGCGCGUAGGCGGCCAGAUCAGUCGAACCUUUAAGAGCGGGGCUCACCCCCGUGGUGGGUUCGGGACGGUCUGGCUGGGGCGCGGCAGAGGGGGACGGAAUGCCGGGUGUAGUGGUGAAAUGCGUAGAGAUCCGGCGGAACACCGGUGGUGAAGACGGUCCCCUGGGCCGAGGCCGACGCUGAGGCGAG
rnacentral:rRNA from 1 species